AAUAAAGGCGCAAGAAAGACACCACAGAACGAAUCUAGUCAAUGAGUUCAUGAGUGACUUCAGACAUUUGGCAGCGCCUGCGUCGAGUCACACGACUGUUUCUCUGCAUCCUCGUCGUAGGUCGAAUCCAUCUCGUUCUGCCUCGACCUUCCUCCUGCAACUCCUCCUCCUCCUCCUCCUCCCCCCCUGCCGAGUCUGGGCAGCCUUACAGCCCCGCAGGUGCGUUUGGCGAGCGCUGCCAGCUCCUGCCGGGCGAGCGGGUUGAAGAGGAUGUACAGCAGUGGGUUGACGCAGGCCGGCAGUGGUGCCACAAGCAGAAGCACCCCCUUUGCCGCCUCUGGCCCGGCGACGGGGAGGCGCAGCAGGGAGGAGAAGGAGAGGAAGGCGACAGGGAGGUAGAGGAGGCAGUCCGAGAAGAGCAGCCAGGCUACAUGUCGAGUCAACGCCACCUCCUCUUCAGCAGCGGGCGGAGCUUUGUUGGCCCGACAGUAGAGGCGAGUGUAGGCGACCGUCAUGACGAGGAAGCACAACGAGUCGAGGAGCACCAGGGAGACGGAGAAGGCCAGGGAGGAUGAGGAGGAAGAGGAAGGCAGUGGCAAGCAGAGGGAGGUGCUACUGUGUCCGGCCACAAGGGGGGGAAGCGUGAUGGCCAGGCCCAACAGGAAACACACGCAGACGGCGAGACGGAUGGAGAGCGGCGAGGAGGAGCGACCUGGAAGGAGAGGAGAGUGAAAUCAGACACGACCUGGAGAAUACUUUACGGAUGUGUAUGUGUUUGUGUGUUUUUCACACCGUGUCCGUCAGCUUUGUGGCGGCGUGCGGCGGCGGCAAGGCAUCGCUCCAAAGCUGCGAUGGUGAGCAGGAAGAGGCCGGUCUGCGACGCAAAUACGCACAGGAAGCCGCUGAGUCGACACAGGAAGCUGCUCUCCCACCUCGCCCCGUACCUGCAACAUGAAGAGAUGAAGUAUGUGAUCCACUGGCUCCCGGUCAAACUCCGCACAGACUUCCAAAUUUUACGUUCAAUGCCAUCCACAACCUUUCCCCUCCUUAUCUGUCCGAACUCCUCCACAUCACCACCCCUUCCCAGUCUCUCAGAUCUGCCUUGGGGAGCAGGCUCUGACCCCCGACUCUGGAACUCACUCCCACCGGACAUCAGGAACCUGGACUCUCUCACACUCUUCAAAUCAAGACUAAAAACUCACCUAUUCAGAACUGCAUACCCCACUUAACUAUCUACAUUGUCUUUUCUUGUCUGUUUCUUAUUUCUUACUGUUUUUAUUUUUAUGUAUUGUACGGUGUUCCUCGAGUGCCCAGAGAGUCGCCUUUAAAUAAAAUGUAUUAUCAUUA